GGGUUGUGAGGUUAAGCGACUAAGCGUACACGGUGGAUGCCCUGGCAGUCAGAGGCGAUGAAGGACGUGCUAAUCUGCGAUAAGCGUCGGUAAGGUGAUAUGAACCGUUAUAACCGGCGAUUUCCGAAUGGGGAAACCCAGUGUGUUUCGACACACUAUCAUUAACUGAAUCCAUAGGUUAAUGAGGCGAACCGGGGGAACUGAAACAUCUAAGUACCCCGAGGAAAAGAAAUCAACCGAGAUUCCCCCAGUAGCGGCGAGCGAACGGGGAGCAGCCCAGAGCCUGAAUCAGUGUGUGUGUUAGUGGAAGCGUCUGGAAAGGCGCGCGAUACAGGGUGACAGCCCCGUACACAAAAAUGCACAUGCUGUGAGCUCGAUGAGUAGGGCGGGACACGUGGUAUCCUGUCUGAAUAUGGGGGGACCAUCCUCCAAGGCUAAAUACUCCUGACUGACCGAUAGUGAACCAGUACCGUGAGGGAAAGGCGAAAAGAACCCCGGCGAGGGGAGUGAAAAAGAACCUGAAACCGUGUACGUACAAGCAGUGGGAGCACGCUUAGGCGUGUGACUGCGUACCUUUUGUAUAAUGGGUCAGCGACUUAUAUUCUGUAGCAAGGUUAACCGAAUAGGGGAGCCGAAGGGAAACCGAGUCUUAACUGGGCGUUAAGUUGCAGGGUAUAGACCCGAAACCCGGUGAUCUAGCCAUGGGCAGGUUGAAGGUUGGGUAACACUAACUGGAGGACCGAACCGACUAAUGUUGAAAAAUUAGCGGAUGACUUGUGGCUGGGGGUGAAAGGCCAAUCAAACCGGGAGAUAGCUGGUUCUCCCCGAAAGCUAUUUAGGUAGCGCCUCGUGAAUUCAUCUCCGGGGGUAGAGCACUGUUUCGGCAAGGGGGUCAUCCCGACUUACCAACCCGAUGCAAACUGCGAAUACCGGAGAAUGUUAUCACGGGAGACACACGGCGGGUGCUAACGUCCGUCGUGAAGAGGGAAACAACCCAGACCGCCAGCUAAGGUCCCAAAGUCAUGGUUAAGUGGGAAACGAUGUGGGAAGGCCCAGACAGCCAGGAUGUUGGCUUAGAAGCAGCCAUCAUUUAAAGAAAGCGUAAUAGCUCACUGGUCGAGUCGGCCUGCGCGGAAGAUGUAACGGGGCUAAACCAUGCACCGAAGCUGCGGCAGCGACGCUGAUGCGUUGUUGGGUAGGGGAGCGUUCUGUAAGCCUGCGAAGGUGUGCUGUGAGGCAUGCUGGAGGUAUCAGAAGUGCGAAUGCUGACAUAAGUAACGAUAAAGCGGGUGAAAAGCCCGCUCGCCGGAAGACCAAGGGUUCCUGUCCAACGUUAAUCGGGGCAGGGUGAGUCGACCCCUAAGGCGAGGCCGAAAGGCGUAGUCGAUGGGAAACAGGUUAAUAUUCCUGUACUUGGUGUUACUGCGAAGGGGGGACGGAGAAGGCUAUGUUGGCCGGGCGACGGUUGUCCCGGUUUAAGCGUGUAGGCUGGUUUUCCAGGCAAAUCCGGAAAAUCAAGGCUGAGGCGUGAUGACGAGGCACUACGGUGCUGAAGCAACAAAUGCCCUGCUUCCAGGAAAAGCCUCUAAGCAUCAGGUAACAUCAAAUCGUACCCCAAACCGACACAGGUGGUCAGGUAGAGAAUACCAAGGCGCUUGAGAGAACUCGGGUGAAGGAACUAGGCAAAAUGGUGCCGUAACUUCGGGAGAAGGCACGCUGAUAUGUAGGUGAAGUCCCUCGCGGAUGGAGCUGAAAUCAGUCGAAGAUACCAGCUGGCUGCAACUGUUUAUUAAAAACACAGCACUGUGCAAACACGAAAGUGGACGUAUACGGUGUGACGCCUGCCCGGUGCCGGAAGGUUAAUUGAUGGGGUUAGCCGCAA
rnacentral:rRNA from 1 species